rnacentral:rRNA from 1 species
GAUGAACGCUGGCGGCGUGCUUAACACAUGCAAGUCGAACGGGAAACCUUUUAUUGAAGCUUCGGCAGAUUUAGCUGGUUUCUAGUGGCGGACGGGUGAGUAACGCGUGGGUAACCUGCCUUAUACAGGGGGAUAACAGUCAGAAAUGGCUGCUAAUACCGCAUAAGCGCACAGAGCUGCAUGGCUCAGUGUGAAAAACUCCGGUGGUAUAAGAUGGACCCGCGUUGGAUUAGCUGGUUGGUGGGGUAACGGCCCACCAAGGCGACGAUCCAUAGCCGGCCUGAGAGGGUGAACGGCCACAGUGGGACUGAGACACGGCCCAGACUCCUACGGGAGGCAGCAGUGGGGAAUAUUGCACAAUGGGGGAAACCCUGAUGCAGCGACGCCGCGUGAAGGAAGAAGUAUCUCGGUAUGUAAACUUCUAUCAGCAGGGAAGAUAAUGACGGUACCUGACGAAGAAGCCCCGGCUAACUACGUG